AGCGAACGCUGGCGGCAGGCCUAACACAUGCAAGUCGAACGAACCCUUCGGGGUUAGUGGCGGACGGGUGAGUAACACGUGGGAACGUGCCUUUAGGCUCGGAAUAACUCAGGGAAACUUGUGCUAAUACCGAAUGUGCCCUUCGGGGGAAAGAUUUAUCGCCUUUAGAGCGGCCCGCGUCUGAUUAGCUAGUUGGUGAGGUAAUGGCUCACCAAGGCUACGAUCAGUAGCUGGUCUGAGAGGAUGACCAGCCACAUUGGGACUGAGACACGGCCCAAACUCCUACGGGAGGCAGCAGUGGGGAAUCUUGCGCAAUGGGCGAAAGCCUGACGCAGCCAUGCCGCGUGGAUGAUGAAGGUCUUAGGAUUGUAAAAUCCUUUCACCGGUGAAGAUAAUGACUGUAGCCGGAGAAGAAGCACCGGCUAACUACGUGCCAGCCGCCACAGUAACAC
rnacentral:rRNA from 1 species